CCCUACGGGGUGCAGCAGGCGCGAAAACUUUACAAUGCGGGAAACCGUGAUAAGGGAACUCCGAGUGUCUAGUAAAUGCGGACUGUCCGUAUGUUUAACAAGCAUGCGAAGAAAGGGCCGGGCAAGACCGGUGCCAGCCGCCGCGGUAAUACCGGCGGCUCGAGUGGUGGCCACUAUUACUGGGCUUAAAGCGUUCGUAGCUGGACUGUUAAGUUUCUUGGGAAAUCUACCGGCUUAACCGAUAGGCGUCCAAGGGAUACAGGCAAUCUAGGGACCGAGAGAGGUGAGGGGUACUUCAGGGGUAGGAGUGAAAUCCUGUAAUCC
rnacentral:rRNA from 1 species